AAUUUGCUUCAAACGGCUGGAGGUGCUGCAACCAGUGGUGGAAUGUAACUAAGUACAUUUAUUUAAGUACUUUACUUAAGUACAAUUUUGAGGUGCUUGUACUUUACCUGAGUCUUCUCUUUUCAUGCCAUUUUCUGCUACUACUACUCCGCUACAUUUCAGAGAGAAAUAUUGUACUUUUUACUCCACUACAUCAAUCUGACAGCUUUCGUUACUAGUUACUUUAGACAUUAAG